UUAACCAAUGCCAAGGAAGCAUGAGAUGUUUGACGAAAAUAAAACGUCCGAAACGUACUCUCUCGCGACCAAUCAGCGCAGUGCAUAAUGUCUGCUAACGAGUCGCCUGCCGAUAAAGCUUGCGAGGCUGCCGCACCUCUGACCGAGUGUGCCCCGAAGCAAGGUUCAACGCCAGCUAACGAUAAUAGCCAGCGGACCCAUCUAGCCAGCGUCGUCGUAGACACCAGUCUGUGAGACUUUACGU